GGACCCGCACAAGUGGUGGAGCAUGUGGUUUAAUUCGAAGCAACGCGAAGAACCUUACCAAGACUUGACAUCCAGUGCAAAACUGUAGAAAUACAGCAGAGGUUAACAUUGAGACAGGUGGUGCAUGGUUGUCGUCAGUUCGUGCCGUGAGGUGUUGGGUUAAGUCCCGCAACGAACGCAACCCUUGUCGCUAGUUACUAACAUUAAGUUGAGGACUUUAGCGAGACUGCUAGUGUAAGCUAGAGGAAGGUGGGGAUGACGUCAAAUCAUCAUGCCCCUUAUGUCUUGGGCUACACACGUGCUACAAUGGCUGGUACAAAGAGCAGCAAUCUCGCGAGGGGGAGCAAAUCUCAAAAAGCCAGUCUCAGUUCGGAUUGAAGUCUGCAACUCGACUUCAUGAAGCCGGAAUCACUAGUAAUCGCGAAUCAGCAACGUCGCGGUGAAUACG
rnacentral:rRNA from 1 species